GGUUAAGCGACUAAGCGUACACGGUGGAUGCCCUGGCAGUCAGAGGCGAUGAAGGGCGUGCUAAUCUGCGAUAAGCGUCGGCGAGGUGAUAUGAACCUUUGACCCGGCGAUACCCGAAUGGGGAAACCCAGUGCAAUCCGUUGCACUAUCAUGUCAUGAAUACAUAGUGGCAUGAGGCGAACCGGGGGAACUGAAACAUCUAAGUACCCCGAGGAAAAGAAAUCAACCGAGAUUCCCCCAGUAGCGGCGAGCGAACGGGGAACAGCCCAGAGUCUGAAUCAGCAUGUGUGUUAGUGGAACGGUCUGGAAAGUCCGACGGUACAGGGUGAUAGUCCCGUACACAAAAAUGCA
rnacentral:rRNA from 1 species